UACGUAGGGUGCGAGCGUUGUCCGGAAUUAUUGGGCGUAAAGAGCUUGUAGGCGGUCUGUCGCGUUUGCUGUGAAAAUCCGGGGCUCAACCCCGGACUUGCAGUGGGUACGGGCAGACUAGAGUGUGGUAGGGGAGACUGGAAUUCCUGGUGUAGCGGUGAAAUGCGCAGAUAUCAGGAAGAACACCCGUGGCGAAGGCGGCUCUCUGGGACGGUACUGACGCUGAGACGCGAAAGCGUGGGGAGCGAACAGG
rnacentral:rRNA from 1 species